rnacentral:lncRNA from 1 species
GUCCUGUUUUGCUUUGCUGGCUGUCUCCCCCGUUUAGACUGUGAGCCAUCAAUGGGCAGGGAGGGUCUCUCUCUGUGGCCGAAAUGUCCAUUCCAAGCGCUUAGUCCAGUGCUCUGCACAUAGGAAGCGCUCAACAGAUACGACUGAAUGAAUGAAUGAAUGAAUGAAUGAAUGAAUGAAUGAAUGAAUGAAUGACUGACUGACUGACUGAAUAGGCCAGGCUGCUCGAGCGCAGCCGAAUGGACGAGCUCGGCCGCUCGAUUGCUUCGGCCUGGGCGCUCCCGCCCCGCCCCGCCCCGCCCCUCGCGCUGCCCGAGUCCGGCCCGAGUGCGGCCCGAGCCCGCCCGAGUCCGCGAGCUGAACCUCGGAGCCCAAUCGGCGAGCUCCUCCCCUCGCCGGCCGUUCGGCCCCUCGGCCCUUCGGCUCUUCGGGCGUUCGGCCGCGGCCCCGCCCUCCUCGCUCCCCCGGCUCCCCCGCCCCCCGGAGCUUCAAAAUGGCCGCGGGUGGAGCUGAGCAGGAAUUUGUUUGCUAGAAAACAAAAUGCAAGACUUGACAGACAGAAUGACUUGGGAUGGAAGUUGUUCGGAAAAGUCCCCCUCCGAGAGAAUUCUCAGAAAGAUUCGAAGAAAAUACAAAAGGAAUAUGAAGAGAGAGCCGGCCGCCCUCACAAGCCCCCGUCCCCGAAGCAGAACGUGAGGAAGAACCUGGAUUUUGAACCCCUCUCCACCACCGCCCUCAUCCUCGAAGACAGACCGGCAAACCUCCCUGCCAAACCCGCCGAAGAAGCUCAGAAACACAGGCAGCAGUACGAAGAGAUGGUGGUUCGGGCCAAAAAACGAGAACUCAAAGAAGCCCAGAGGAGGAAAAAGCAACUGGAAGAAAGAUGUAAACUGGAAGAAAGCAUCGGCAACGCCGUCCUGACGUGGAACAACGAAAUCCUCCCCAACUGGGAGGCCAUGCGCGGCUCCCGGAAGGUGCGGGAGCUCUGGUGGCAGGGCAUCCCGCCCAGCGUCCGAGGCAGAGUCUGGAGCUUGGCCAUAGGAAACGAACUCAAUAUCACCCACGAACUCUACGAUAUCUGCCUAGCUCGAGCCAAAGAGAGAUGGCGAUCCCUCAGCUCCGGAACCACCGAAUUGGAAAACGAAGACGCGGGGUUUUCGGCAGCGGACCGGGAAGCCAGCCUGGAGCUCAUCAAACUGGACAUUUCCCGCACGUUUCCCAAUCUCUGUAUCUUCCAGCAAGGCGGUCCGUACCAUGACGUGUUGCACAGUAUUUUGGGGGCGUAUACUUGUUACAGACCAGAUGUCGGUUACGUUCAAGGCAUGUCAUUCAUAGCGGCCGUGCUCAUUUUGAAUUUGGAUUCUGCCGACGCCUUCAUCGCAUUUUCUAACCUUUUGAAUAAACCCUGUCAGAUGGCGUUUUUCCGGGUGGAUCACGGCCUCAUGUUGACUUACUUCGCAGCGUUUGAGGUGUUCUUUGAGGAAAAUCUGCCAAGGUUAUUUGCCCAUUUCAAGAAAAAUAACCUGACUCCGGAUAUCUACCUGAUUGAUUGGAUCUUCACCUUGUACAGCAAGUCUCUGCCGCUGGACCUGGCCUGCCGGGUCUGGGACGUGUUCUGCCGGGACGGGGAAGAGUUUCUGUUCCGGACGGCCCUGGGCAUCCUGAAACUCUUCGAAGACAUCUUGACGAAGAUGGACUUCAUCCACAUAGCCCAGUUCCUCACGAAGCUCCCGGAGGACUUGCCUGCCGAAGAAUUCUUUACGUCUAUUGCGGCGAUCCAGAUGCAGAGCAGAAACAAAAAAUGGGCUCAGGUGAACACGGGCCUCUUAGACGGGCGCACAGGGGUUGUCCGCGGGGAUGGAGAAGAGCGGCGAGGAUGGCGUUAUACUGUAAUCUGUUGCUCGCCUAUUACGCGCAGCUCUUAA